rnacentral:rRNA from 1 species
GUUGAUUCUUCAUUUACCCCANUGUAUGUCAAUAGAAUGUUGUGUCCAUAAUAUAUACAACUUUCAGCAACGGAUCUCUUGGCUCUCGCAUCGAUGAAGAACGCAGCGAAAUGNGAUAAGUAAUGUGAAUUGCAGAAUUCAGUGAAUCAUCGAAUCUUUGAACGCACCUUGCGCUCCUUGGUAUUCCGAGGAGCAUGCCUGUUUGAGUGUCAUUAAUAUUAUAUAUCAAACCCUCUUUUGUUGAGUGGUUUGGAUGUGGGGUUGCUGGCCUCUUGAAGGGGUCAGCUUUCCUGAAAUGCAUUAGCAGAACAGCCUGUNNGUUCCAUUGGUGUGAUAACUAUCUACGCUAUUGAAUGAUGAAGGCAAGUUCAGCUUUCUAACCGUCUUUGGACAAUUUAUCAUCUAUAUGUGACCUCAAAUCAGGUAGGACUACCCGCUGAACUUAAGCNUAUCAAUAANNCGGAGGAANC